UACGUAGGGUGCGAGCGUUGUCCGGAAUUAUUGGGCGUAAAGAGCUCGUAGGCGGUGUGUCACGUCGGCCGUGAAAACCUGCAGCUUAACUGUGGCGUGCGGUCGAUACGGGCAUCACUGGAGUUCGGCAGGGGAGAUUGGAAUUCCGUGAUGUAGCGGUGAAAUGCGCAGAUAUCAGGAGGAACACCGGUGGCGAAGGCGGCUACCGUGGCCCAAUACUGACACUCAGGUGCGACAGCGUGGGAGCAAACAGG
rnacentral:rRNA from 1 species